GAGACACAGUCUUGCUCUGUCAAGGCUGCAGUGAGCCAUGAUUGUGCCACUUCACCCUGGGCAACAGAGAAAGACCCUGUCUCAAUAAAAAAGAAGAGAAAAACUGGAGUGAGAACUCUCCUCCUCUCAUAAUCAUAGUAUCCACGUUAGGAAAAUGCUUCUGAGAGUAACUUAAAGUACUGUGUGUGCAUCUUCCUUCAAAACCUUGCUUUUUUCUCCGUUUUUGUAAGGUGAGAAAGGGAAAAACCUUCACCGUAGAAAUACUGUCUUGAGAUUAAGAUACAAAUAAAACAUGUUAAACCUCCAUCUAAAGACAUUGCAACUUAUUAAAACAGAAAAAUGUACCUUUGUUAUGUCUUUCCAAAUAUCCACACCCACACCCUGUUCAGCUUUGUUAAUAAUACAGAGAUCAGAAAUGUGAAGCACAAAUGCUGCUUCUCCCCCUCCUGUUCCCAUGUCAGAGAUGGAGAAGAAAGCACAGUGAGCUGUUCACCAGUCCAGCGGUGACCUCGGAGUCCUUUGUAACAGUGUUUCCAAUAACUUCUGCCAAUAAAACAGAAUUUGAGUUAGAACCUAUCUGCUGUCCCUCAACUAGUGUCUGAUAGCUGAGAAUGUAAUUCGUUUGUGUGUCUAUUAGAAAAUUAGGCAGGCACCACAGACAGUAGCAACAUAAAGGAACCUGCUUAGAAGAGGUUUUUAUGGUGUGAUUGUGUUUUUUUUUUUUUAAUUUUUGUUUCCUGAAGUAGAAUCCAUAGCUCAAAACAAGUUUUAAGCCUGAGAAAAUAUAAUUUGAGGUGUUUUUUAUGCUCCUAAUGAAAAGAUGAAUGAAUGCAUCAUUAAACCUUAACAGUAGAGCAGAAUUUCACUGUUACAAACCACAUGGGUUCUCCUGGUUGUGCUGCUGUUCUCUACCUGUGUGUCACUGAGUUUGAGCAUCAUUAUUGUUUGAAUCAGAGGACCCACUGGAAUCAAGGCUUCUUGGAAUUGCGCAAGAAUCUGAGAAAACUUCAAUCUUUACCAGCAUUUCUUAAUGCUUUCCAUGACUUUUGUGCAAUUAUAUAAGUUCAGUUUAGACAAAAUGCUGUUACUUUUUAAGGCAUUACUAAUAACUGAAAAUAGUUACGUCAUUGCCCAUCAAGGGAAAAGCACUUGUAACUGUCAUUUAAAAAAAAU
rnacentral:lncRNA from 10 species